GAACGCUGGCGGCGUGCUUAACACAUGCAAGUCGAACGAUGAAGUUCCUUCGGGGAUGGAUUAGUGGCGAACGGGUGAGGAACACGUGAAGAAUCUGCCCUCCACUUUGGGAUAACUCCGGGAAACCGGGGCUAAUACCGAAUAUUGAAACAUAGACGGCAUCGUCGAGUUUUGAAAGAAUUUCGGUGGAGGAUGACUUCGCGGCCUAUCAGCUUGUUGGUGAGGUAAUGGCUCACCAAGGCGACGACGGGUAGCCGGCCUGAGAGGGCGACCGGCCACACUGGGACUGAGACACGGCCCAGACUCCUACGGGAGGCAGCAGUGGGGAAUAUUGGGCAAUGGACGCAAGUCUGACCCAGCGACGCCGCGUGCGGGAUGAAGGCCUUCGGGUUGUAAACCGCUUUCAGCAGGGAAGAAGCGAAAGUGACGGUACCUGCAAAAGGAGCACCGGCUAACUAUGUGCCAGCAGCCGCGGUAAUACAUAGGGUGCAAGCGUUGUCCGGAAUUAUUGGGCGUAAAGAGCUCGUAGGUCGUUAGUUACGUCGGAUGUGAAAUUUUGGGGCUCAACCCCAAACCUGCAUUCGAUACGGGCUAACUAGAGUUUGGUAGGGGAGACUGGAAUUCCUGGUGUAGCGGUGGAAUGCGCAGAUAUCAGGAGGAACACCAAUGGCGAAGGCAGGUCUCUGGGCCAAUACUGACACUGAGGAGCGAAAGCGCGGGGAGCGAACAGGAUUAGAUACCCUGGUAGUCCGCGCCGUAAACGGUGGGCGCUAGUUGUGGGGACCUUCCACGGUUUCUGCGACGCAGCUAACGCAUUAAGCGCCCCGCCUGGGGAGUACGAU
rnacentral:rRNA from 1 species